ACCAGGUUUCGGUAGGUGAACCUGCGGAAGAAUCAUUAAAAGUAUAUAGUUAUACAUUCUCUGUAUCGACUAAAUAUACCCAUUCUGSGUACCUUGCCUGUUGCUUCCAUGGAGCCUGACACAUGUCACUCUGGGGAUUUACAUCCCGAGGGAGCCUCCGUGGAAGGUAAUCAAUUAACUCUUGAAUCCAAUGUCAUCUGUCUGAUAAUGUUUAAAACAAAUGUUAAAACUUUCAACAACGGAUCUCUUGGUUCUCGCAUCGAUGAAGAACGCAGCGAAAUGCGAUAAGUAGUGUGAAUUGCAGAAUUCAGUGAAUCAUCGAAUCUUUGAACGCACAUUGCGCCUCCUGGUAUUCCGGGAGGCAUGCCUGUUCGAGCGUCAUUAAAUACCACUCAAGCUCUUCUGCUUGGUCAUGGAAGAAGAGUAUGCUUGCAUCCUCUCUUCUGAAAUUGAAUGGCGGACCGCCUCAUGUGCCUCGCGUAGUAAGUUCAUCUUUUCGCUGGCAGCGUGAGACAGUCUCGCCAUCAACCCCCAUACUUCUAAGGUUGACCUCGGAUCAGGUAGGGAUACCCGCUGAACUUAAGCA
rnacentral:rRNA from 1 species